rnacentral:rRNA from 1 species
AACGAACGCUGGCGGCAGGCCUAACACAUGCAAGUCGAGCGCCCUUUCGGGGGUGCGGCGGACGGGUGAGUAACGCGUGGGAAUAUGCCCUUCUCUACGGAAUAGCCUCGGGAAACUAAGAGUAAUACCGUAUACGCCCUGUGGGGGAAAGCUUUAUCGGGGAAGGAUUAGCCCGCGUGGGAUUAGGUAGUUGGUAGGGUAAUGGCCUACCAAGCCGACGAUCCAUAGCUGGUUUGAGAGGAUGAUCAGCCACACUGGGACUGGGACACGGCCCAGACUCCUACGGGAGGCAGCAGUGGGGAAUCUUAGACAAUGGGGGCAACCCUGAACGAGCCAUGCCGCGUGAGUGAUGAAGGCCUUAGGGUUGUAAAGCUCUUUCAGCUGGGAAGAUAAUGACGGUACCAGAAGAAGAAGCCCCGGCUAACUCCGUG